rnacentral:rRNA from 1 species
UAGUAGCGGCGAGCGAACAGGGAGAAGCCCAGCACUGAAUCGCGCGUCCAUUGGGGCGCUGCGAAAUGUAGUGUUUGGGAGGGUCCACAAUUCCGCAGUUUGGUGAUGAGUCCAAGUCCUUCUUGAACGGGGCCAUUUACCCAUAGAGGGUGCCAGGCCCGUAGCGACCUUUGCCUGCUGCGGAAGGAUUUCUCCUUAGAGUCGGGUUGCUUGAGAGUGCAGCCCUAAGUAGGUGGUAAACUCCAUCUAAGGCUAAAUAUAACCACGAGACCGAUAGCGAACAAGUACCGUGAGGGAAAGUUGAAAAGAACUUUGAAGAGAGAGUUCAAUAGUACGUGAAACCGUUUAGGGGUAAACCUGAGAAACCCGAAAGAUCGAACAGGGAGAUUCAGCGUGUCUCGGCAUACGCAAGUUACACUAAGACGUCAAUUGUCACUCGUGGCGAUUGCACUUUGGGUAGCCGCUGUUGUGUGUCGAAUGCGUGCACUUCUCCUUUAGUAGGACGUCGCGACCCGUUGGGUGUCGGUCUUAGGCUCGCAACGGAGCCCGUGCGUCGUUUUUGACGUGCGGACCUGUGAUGUCCCGGCCGACUGCCUGACGGUAGUCUUAUGGCACAGAGCCGCGACUAGCUCGCGUUCGGCUCGGCGCAAGCGCAGUCGGUUACUCGUACGUCGGACAUGUCCGCCCUCGAGGCCGGCUGGCUGCUGGCGUCGGUGUUCCCGAACAGACUCUGAUCAUGCCUGUCAGCGGCGCUUUAGCUUUGGGUACUUUCAGGACCCGUCUUGAAACACGGACCAAGGAGUCUAGCAUGUGCGCGAGUCAUUGGGACUAUUGAAUCCUACAGGCGAAAUGAAAGUAAAUGCAAGCCUUGCGUUUGUCAGAGGGAGGAUGGGCGACAUUUGUCGCCUCGCACUUCCGGGGCGUCUCAUUCUCAUUGCGAGGAGAGGCGCACCUAGAGCGUACAUGCU